rnacentral:sRNA from 1 species
AUACAUCCUGGUUCUCUUGCUAAAGGACAGUGACUGUUUCAUCCACAACGAUAAUGAAGGAAACAACGAUACUCGCCAUUUUUCUCCUUGGGUUUGUCGCCUGCUCCGUUCUUGCCCAAGAGGAGCCGGAUGAUAGCUGUAUUGCACCCAAUGGUGCCAAAAUUGAAGGAGGGGAGACAAAAUUUAUCGACCCCUGCACGUUCUGUCGCUGUUCUGAGGGGAUAGUGGAAGCGAUGUGUGGAAGCAUCGACUGUCCCCGCACCAGCUGCGAUAAACCAGUUAACGUGGAGGGGAAAUGCUGUCCUGUGUGUCAGUAAAACGGGAUAUGAGUAAAGAACAAAACGAAAAAAGAAGAAAAAAGCUUUCCUUAGCACCUAAACUUCACUGUGAUCACCUGUUUUGUAAUUCCUGUUCCACAUCAGCGAACCUUUAAAUCAUUGUAAACUAUUGUAGACUGUUCUGUCCGUCGUGUGUACAUAUCAACCAUUAUUCGUUCUGUGUGUAAUUUUUUUAUUUAAUAACAAAGGUAUUCU